rnacentral:rRNA from 1 species
UACAGAGGGUGCAAGCGUUGUCCGGAAUCACUGGGCGUAAAGCGCGUGUAGGCGGCCCGGUAAGUCCGCUGUGAAAGUCCAGGGCUCAACCCUGGGAUGCCGGUGGAUACUGUCGGGCUCGAGUCCGGAAGAGGCGAGUGGAAUUCCUGGUGUAGCGGUGAAAUGCGCAGAUAUCAGGAGGAACACCAAUGGCGAAGGCAGCUCGCUGGGACGUGACUGACGCUGAGACGCGAAAGCGUGGGGAGCAAACAGG